rnacentral:lncRNA from 1 species
GGGUAUCCGAAGGAUAAAUGUACCAGACGGGACAUAAGGCAGUGAGGCCUAGGGGUCACGUAUUGGGUAUAAUUUGUGAAGGAUAACCAAGAUACGAAGUAAUGAUGUGAUAUGGUUUGGAUUGUGUAUCUUUUUAUUAUAUUUUUCUAGAUAGUGUAAAAUGACAUUGCUUGACUGGCAUAUUACAUAAUCUACUCAAUGAGUGGUGGUUUGCUC